GGCCCGGUGGCGGAUGGUCCGCGCCUGCAACUAGUAUAAAGGAUCCUGUAAAUCAGCAGGGUACGCUCGUUCGAAUCGAGCCCGGGUCA